UGGGGUGUCGUCUAAUGGUAGGACGCCUGCCUCUGGAGCAGGUAGUUGGGGUUCGAGUCCCUGCACCCCAG
rnacentral:tRNA from 2 species